CACGUAGGGCGCGAGCGUUGUCCGGAAUUAUUGGGCGUAAAGAGCUCGUAGGCGGCCUGUUGCGUCCGCUGUGAAAGCCCGGGGCUUAACCCCGGGUCGGCAGUGGAUACGGGCAGGCUAGAGGUAGGUAGGGGAGAAUGGAUUCCCGGUGUAGCGGUGAAAUGCGCAGAUAUCGGGAGGAACACCGGUGGCGAAGGCGGUUCUCUGGGCCUUACCUGACGCUGAGGAGCGAAAGCGUGGGGAGCGAACAGG
rnacentral:rRNA from 1 species